rnacentral:rRNA from 1 species
GGAUCCAGACUUUGAUUAUGGCUCAGGAUGAACGCUAGCUACAGGCUUAACACAUGCAAGUCGAGGGGAAACGACAUCGAAAGCUUGCUUUUGAUGGGUGUCGACCGGCGCACGGGUGAGUAACGCGUAUCCAACCUGCCCAUCACUUGGGGAUAACCUUGCGAAAGUAAGACUAAUACCCAAUGAUAUCUCAAGAAGACAUCUGAAUGAGAUUAAAAAUUUAUCGGUGAUGGAUGGGGAUGCGUCUGAUUAGCUUGUUGGCGGGGUAACGGCCCACCAAGGCGACGAUCAGUAGGGGUUCUGAGAGGAAGGUCCCCCACAUUGGAACUGAGACACGGUCCAAACUCCUACGGGAGGCAGCAGUGAGGAAUAUUGGUCAAUGGGCGAGAGCCUGAACCAGCCAAGUAGCGUGCAGGAUGACGGCCCUAUGGGUUGUAAACUGCUUUUAUAAGGGAAUAAGGUGAGUCUCGUGAGACUUUUUGCAUGUACCUUAUGAAUAAGGACCGGCUAAUUCCGUGCCAGCAGCCGCGGUAAUACGGAAGGUCCGGGCGUUAUCCGGAUUUAUUGGGUUUAAAGGGAGCGUAGGCCGGAGAUUAAGCGUGUUGUGAAAUGUAGAUGCUCAACAUCUGCACUGCAGCGCGAACUGGUUUCCUUGAGUACGCACAAAGUGGGCGGAAUUCGUGGUGUAGCGGUGAAAUGCUUAGAUAUCACGAAGAACUCCGAUUGCGAAGGCAGCUCACUGGAGCGCAACUGACGCUGAAGCUCGAAAGUGCGGGUAUCGAACAGGAUUAGAUACCCUGGUAGUCCGCACGGUAAACGAUGGAUGCCCGCUGUUGGUCCGAAUAGGUCAGCGGCCAAGCGAAAGCAUUAAGCAUCCCACCUGGGGAGUACGCCGGCAACGGUGCAACUCAA